GUGCUGGUGGCCAGCGGCCAGGCGAACUGGGCUGGCGUUCCGGGAGUGCGGGUGCUCUCCUGCGGCUCCUGGCUUCUGGUGCCCGCCUGCGGC
rnacentral:tRNA from 1 species